rnacentral:rRNA from 1 species
AGUGAACGCUGGCGGUAGGCCUAACACAUGCAAGUCGAACGGCAGCACAGGAGAGCUUGCUCUCUAGGUGGCGAGUGGCGGACGGGUGAGGAAUACAUCUGAAUCUGCCCAGUCGUGGGGGAUAACGUAGGGAAACUUACGCUAAUACCGCAUACGACCUUCGGGUGAAAGAGGGGGAUCGCAAGACCUCUCGCGAUUGGAUGAGCCGAUGUCGGAUUAGCUAGUUAGCGGGGUAAUGGCCCACCAAGGCGACGAUCCGUAGCUGGUCUGAGAGGAUGAUCAGCCACACUGGAACUGAGACACGGUCCAGACUCCUACGGGAGGCAGCAGUGGGGAAUAUUGGACAAUGGGCGCAAGCCUGAUCCAGCCAUACCGCGUGGGUGAAGAAGGCCUUCGGGUUGUAAAGCCCUUUUGUUGGGAAAGAAAUCUUUCAGGCUAAUACCCUGGGAGGAUGACGGUACCCAAAGAAUAAGCACCGGCUAACUUCGUG